GAUCCUGGCUCAGAUUGAACGCUGGCGGAAUGCUUUACACAUGCAAGUCGAACGGCAGCACGGGGGCAACCCUGGUGGCGAGUGGCGAACGGGUGAGUAAUAUAUCGGAACGUGCCCAGUCGUGGGGGAUAACGUAGCGAAAGUUACGCUAAUACCGCAUACGAUCUACGGAUGAAAGCGGGGGAUCGAAAGACCUCGCGCGAUUGGAGCGGCCGAUAUCAGAUUAGGUAGUUGGUGGGGUAAAGGCUCACCAAGCCAACGAUCUGUAGCUGGUCUGAGAGGACGACCAGCCACACUGGGACUGAGACACGGCCCAGACUCCUACGGGAGGCAGCAGUGGGGAAUUUUGGACAAUGGGCGCAAGCCUGAUCCAGCCAUUCCGCGUGCAGGACGAAGGCCUUCGGGUUGUAAACUGCUUUUGUACGGAACGAAAAAGCCUUGGCUAAUACCCAGGGUCCAUGACGGUACCGUAAGAAUAAGCACCGGCUAACUACGUG
rnacentral:rRNA from 1 species